GACGAACGCUGGCGGCGCGCUUAACACAUGCCAGUCGAACGGAAAGGCCUGCUUUCCCUUGUGGAUUGCGGGUACUCGAGUGGCGAACGGGUGAGUAACACGUGAGUGAUCUGCCCCCAACUUGGGUAUAAGCCUGGGAAACUGGGUCUAAUUCCCGAUAGGACUGCAGGGUGGUGCCUGUGGUGGAAAACGAUUUUCUAGUGGUUGGGGAUGAGCUCGCGGCCUAUCAGCUUGUUGGUGGGGUAAUGGCCUACCAAGGCGGCGACGGGUAGCCGGCCUGAGAGGGUGGACGGCCACAUUGGGACUGAGAUACGGCCCAGACUCCUACGGGAGGCAGCAGUGGGGAAUAUUGCACAAUGGGCGGAAGCCUGAUGCAGCGACGCCGCGUGGGGGAUGACGGCCCUCGGGUUGUAAACUCCUUUCGACCGCGAGGAAGCCACCUGGUUGGAAGGGUGGUGACGGUAGUGGUAGAAGAAGCACCGGCUAACUACGUG
rnacentral:rRNA from 1 species